UUUCUAUAAGUAUAAAACAUUGGGAAAUCAAGGAAUAAAAGAAGAAUUUGAAUCACAGGAAAUAUGGCCUAAAAUAGUAAAAAUUAAUGAUUCCACAAAAUAAUACUAUGGAAAAUAGACAAUCUCCCAAACAAUCAAAGGAAAGUAUCCGCAAAUUACGGAAUCACAUAAAAUCCAAAUAUAAUAAUCCUAAAUUAGUUUCAUUAACUACAACUCAUAAUCCUAAUUAAAAUUUAUAUCUCCCAAUUGAUUUAUCAAUUAAAACUGCGAUGAUUCGCGCAUGCAUAAGCCGUUUUCAUCAAAAAAUUAAACAAAUCUUUCCUACCACUUACACUUCUAUUUUGGGAAAUAGAAAAAGAUUAAACAUAACAAAAGAAGAAAGUGGUCGUAAAGUGCCAAGUCAUAUAAAAUCCAAGAAACCCAAACCUAUAGUAGCUUUAGUACCUACACCUCAAAGAUGCGGGGCAUGUGCUGCCCGUUUUCGUCUAAAGCUUAAACAGAUUUUUCCCACCACCUAUACAUCUAUUCCUAAAAAUAGAACUGAGAGACCGAACAACGGUAAAUUCACACAGUGCUGUCAUAAAGGGAAGGUUAACCUUACCCAAAUACCAUAUCCUCCUUAUUUGAAAAAUCUUAUAUCAAACCCUCAAGAUAAGUUACAUAAUAAUUUUAUGAAGAACAUACGUUCUUAUAAUUCAGCAGUAGCUUUUGCAUCGAUGGGCGCAAAAAUUUCGGAGCUUACUGGUAGUGGCCCUUAUUGUUUCAAAGUGCACGGCCAUAUAUAUCACCAGGUGGGUACCUUCUAAUGCUUUGCCUACUUAUGCCCAGUUAUAAGUGUUAGAUACGACACAGGCUAUAGAUAAGCGUAUACACCAUCCGGCAAAUAGUAAAUGUAAUAUAGAUAUUAUGAAGCAAUUAGAUCAGUUAAUACGACAAAUUAAUCCCUAUACUCUUAGUUUUAAGACAUUAGGUGAAGUCCAUCAAUCUGCAUUAAAAUUAGCAACUACUUCUAAUACAAAACUCCCAACCAUUAAUAUGAUCUUUAAAGGAGAUCGUUCUAGCGAUCGACGCCGUUAUAAUUUACCAUCUAUGGAUGACGUAGCUAUGAUUUUCAAUAAUGAAGAUGGAGAGCCUCCUUUCAAAAGAGAUAUUAAAGUCUAUCCUAAAUCUAAUGACAACGAUCUUAUUAUUCUUAAUGUAUUGAGCCCAAAUUUAGACCCCAUGGUUUAUCCUUUACUAUUCCCUCAUGGUGAACCUGGUUGGUCUCCUAAUAUGAUCGCUGACAAUUCUGACUAACAGGAGCUCUGUCACUGGCACCACUAACAACACCCCAACAAAAUUACAACACAAAAAUUUAGAAUUUUCUUUCCGGAGAAUAUUUUAACACAAAAUAACGAUGAUGGUUCAUGUAUUGCUGAAAUGGUUGAUCAAAUAAAAUUAGUUAUGCAAC